UGAAUACGAGAUGCUACGGCAUCGAAGCAGUCUAUGUCAUACUUCCAAGAAAAGCUUGCACUGUCAUAAACAAAUAAUGCCUGUACCAUAACCGACACAGGUGGGUAGGUAGAGUAUACUAAGGGGCGCGAGAUAACUCUCUCUAAGGAACUCGGCAAAAUGACUCCGUAACUUCGGGAGAAGGAGUGCCUUAUUUUAUAAGGUUGCAAUAACAAGAUCCAAGCAACUGUUUACCAAAAACACAGGUCUCCGCUAAGUCGUAAGACGAUGUAUGGGGGCUGACGCCUGCCCAGUGCCAGAAGGUUAAAGAAGUUGGUUAGCAUUAGCGAAGCUGAUAACUGAAGCCCUGGUGAACGGCGGCCGUAACUAUAACGGUCCUAAGGUAGCGAAAUUCCUUGUCGGGUAAGUUCCGACCCGCACGAAAGGCGUAAUGAUUUGGAUACUGUCUCGGAGAGGGGCUCGGUGAAAUAGACUUGUCUGUGAAGAUGCGGACUACCUGCACCAGGACAGAAAGACCCUAUGAAGCUUUACUGUAACUUGAGAUUGAAAUUGGACUUUAUUUGCGCAGUAUAGGUGGGAGACGUUGAAAAUAUUCUUGCGGGAAUAUUGGAGUCAUCAGUGAGAUACCACUCUUAUAAUGUUAGAUUUCUAACUUUGUAUCAUUAUCUGGUCAAAGAACAGUCUCAGGCGGGCAGUUUGACUGGGGCGGUCGCCUCCCAAACGGUAACGGAGGCACACAAAGGUUUCCUCUGAACGUGUAGGAAUCGUAUCUAGAGUGUAAAGGCAUAAGGAAGCUUGACUGUGAGACCUACAAGUCGAGCAGGGACGAAAGUCGGUCUUAGUGAUCUGACGGUGCUGAGUGGAAAGGCCGUCACUCAACGGAUAAAAGUUACUCUAAGGAUAACAGGCUGAUCUCCCCCAAGAGUUCACAUCGACGGGGAGGUUUGGCACCUCGAUGUCGGCUCAUCGCAUCCUGGGGCGGUAGUACGUCCCAAGGGUUGGGCUGUUCGCCCAUGAAAGCGGUACGCGAGCUGGGUUCAGAACGUCGUGAGGCAGUUCGGUCCAUAUCCGGUGUAGGCGUUAGAAUAUUGAGAGGAGCCUUCUUUAGUACGAGAGGACCGAGAAGGACAUACCUCUGGUGUACCAGUUAUCGUGCCAACGGUAAACGCUGGGUAGCUAUGUAUGGAGAGGAUAACCGCUGAAAGCAUCUAAGUGGGAAGCCCACCUCAAGAUAAGUA
rnacentral:rRNA from 1 species